rnacentral:misc_RNA from 1 species
GUAGGUGAACCUGCGGAAGGAUCAUUAACAAAUCAUCAUAGGUGCCGCAAGGCCCUAUAUACACCCCAAGCCUGUGAGGAGCUGCUGUUGUGGCUCGGAUCGGCUUUGGUUGCAGCCCUCGGGCUGUAGGUCGGGCUGCCGAAAGGUAGCCAGGCCACAUAGACGCUUGUAUGUUUGACAGAGUUUAGUUGCAUCAUAAAAAAUACAACUUUUAACAAUGGAUCUCUUGGCUCUUGCAUCGAUGAAGAAC